rnacentral:rRNA from 1 species
GACGAACGCUGGCGGCGUGCCUAAUACAUGCAAGUAGAACGCUGAAGAGAGGAGCUUGCUCUUCUUGGAUGAGUUGCGAACGGGUGAGUAACGCGUAGGUAACCUGCCUUGUAGCGGGGGAUAACUAUUGGAAACGAUAGCUAAUACCGCAUAACAAUGGAUGACCCAUGUCAUUUAUUUGAAAGGGGCAAAUGCUCCACUACAAGAUGGACCUGCGUUGUAUUAGCUAGUAGGUGAGGUAACGGCUCACCUAGGCGACGAUACAUAGCCGACCUGAGAGGGUGAUCGGCCACACUGGGACUGAGACACGGCCCAGACUCCUACGGGAGGCAGCAGUAGGGAAUCUUCGGCAAUGGGGGCAACCCUGACCGAGCAACGCCGCGUGAGUGAAGAAGGUUUUCGGAUCGCAAAGCUCUGUUGUAAGUCAAGAACGAGUGUGAGAGUGGAAAGUUCACACUGUGACGGUAGCUUACCAGAAAGGGACGGCUAACUACGUG